rnacentral:rRNA from 1 species
UAGGGAAUCUUCGGCAAUGGGGGCAACCCUGACCGAGCAACGCCGCGUGAGUGAAGAAGGUUUUCGGAUCGUAAAGCUCUGUUGUUGGUGAAGAAGGAUAGAGGCAGUAACUGGUCUUUAUUUGACGGUAAUCAACCAGAAAGUCACGGCUAACUACGNGCCAG